UACGUAGGGGGCAAGCGUUGUCCGGAAUCAUUGGGCGUAAAGCGCGUGUAGGCGGCUCGGUAAGUCCGCUCUGAAAGUCCAGGGCUCAACCCUGGGAUGCGGGUGGAUACUGCCGGGCUCGAGUCCGGAAGAGGCGAGUGGAAUUCCCGGUGUAGCGGUGAAAUGCGCAGAUAUCAGGAGGAACACCGAUGGCGAAGGCAGUGGGCUGGGCCGGCACUGACGCUGAGGAGCGAAAGCGUGGGGAGCGAACAGG
rnacentral:rRNA from 1 species